rnacentral:misc_RNA from 1 species
CUUCUUCUCAGCAUUCAACCAAAACUCACUGAAUUUGAGCCCCAAACUGAAGAAUUCCCUACAUGCAACACCAACCAAACACAAAUCCCAGCAAUCUCAGCUUCUUAUGAUCAGCAAUUCAAACCCAAAAGUCAACAAAUCAAACAACCAUGAAAACCCCACCACAAAUCCACUAGAGCCUCAAUUGAAGCUUUUGAUCCGGUCCAAAAAAACAAAACUUUAGAGGUGAAUCGAAUCUGGGAACCCAAAACAAUGAACACUGGGCACAGAAUUGAGUGAGAAAAGAGUGGGUUUAGUGGUAAUUUAGAGGGACAAUGGGAAUGAUAGAGAAAGAAAAACCGCAAUUGUUAUAGGGGCAGGGUUAAAGAGAAAUUGGCAUUGUGGUGUUGGAUCUCAAAAGAGAUUCUUUGUGGGUUUUUUAUUUUUCUUUUUUUCUUUUCUUAAGCGAUGAGAAUCUGACGAUUUAACAACAGAAAC